GGGCCCGCACAAGCGGUGGAGCAUGUGGUUUAAUUCGAUGCAACGCGAAGAACCUUACCUACUCUUGACAUCCAGAGAAUUCGCUAGAGAUAGCUUAGUGCCUUCGGGAACUCUGAGACAGGUGCUGCAUGGCUGUCGUCAGCUCGUGUUGUGAAAUGUUGGGUUAAGUCCCGCAACGAGCGCAACCCUUAUCCUUGUUUGCCAGCACGUAAUGGUGGGAACUCCAGGGAGACUGCCGGUGAUAAACCGGAGGAAGGUGGGGACGACGUCAAGUCAUCAUGGCCCUUACGAGUAGGGCUACACACGUGCUACAAUGGCGUAUACAGAGGGCUGCAAGCUAGCGAUAGUGAGCUAAUCCCACAAAGUACGUCGUAGUCCGGAUUGGAGUCUGCAACUCGACUCCAUGAAGUCGGAAUCGCUAGUAA
rnacentral:rRNA from 1 species